CGGUUUUCUCCGUGAGCUGCAGCAAGCAUGGCUGAAUGUGUUGUGUCUUCAGCAUUUAAUCCUGUGCCAUCCGCGAGAAAUUAAGGCGAAGCAAUGCUUUUUCACCCAGCUUAUGAUACGUGGAAGUCGACAGUAAAUGUUCAAUCUUGCUACACGUCUCCCUCUCAUCAAUUUGCUGUGGUUUACCUUGGUGUUUAGUCGGAGUUGUUACACUUUUGAUGAGAACACUACAGGUAUAUUUGGUGAAAAUGCCUUAAUGCACUGGAAAUAAUACAAAACUAACUUAAAAGUAACUUUCUACUAUGUGUAGGAGUUUUUUUAAGUCAAUAAUUCCUUAAUAUUGAUGGGAAUUUAGUUUCACUGGCCGAUAAUUUCACUUAUGUGGAAAUAAUUUCAUAUUGUUUGAAAUAAUAAUAGUACUUUUUCAUCAAUGUUAAGGAAUUAUUUACUUAAAAUAAGCUCAAAUUCCUGCUGAAAAGUUACUUUUAAAAAGAAAAAUGUAGCUAACAACCAAAGCCCAGUUAAAGUGGCUGGGCUUCGCUGGGGUUGCUAGGCAACGGCACAGCGCCAAUUGAGUGUGUCUUAAAAAUUGUGAGGUUUAAAAUUGGCUCAUUUUCAAGGCACCAAAAGACAUGAACUUAUUGGCAAAAAACAGCUGGGUAGGUUUUUUAAGUGCCUUGUUUGUUUUUAGAAGCAACAGAAACACAAAUGGAAGAACAAAACGAGCAAAAUGUAAAUUUUGAGUCACAGGUCUCCUUUAAUAAAUUUAAGUGGACUUAGCGAAAGACUCCAUUUCUUCACUGGACUACCUGAAAGCUGCCACUUUCCCUCCUAAAGCUUUAAAACGCCCACAGUGACAUUUAGCAGAAGGUUAAUUACAGGCCAGCUCAUUCCUCAGGGUUAAAAACGAGGCCUUUCAACAGCACAACACCAUAAGACUAAUCAGGAACCCUGCAGCCUAAUGAGCUGAUCCCAUACAGCAGAGGUCCCUGAACGCAUCGUCAGCCCGUCCUAAGGUGUGUCAGGUUAACGCCACAGCGGCCAGCGUGUGGGCGGGCAGCGUGUAGGAAGCUUCUGAGGACAUCAUCACAACAUCUACGUCUUGGUUUUUAAAGAAAUAAGAAGCUAAAAACUCUCCCAGCUCACCUAAAAAAUCUAUUCACCACUCAAGUAUACCAGUUAUGAAUAUUUCAAGGUAAACAAUCAAAGAAAAAAUUCUAUUUUCUAACCUAUUUAAAGGUAAAAUGCUAUUUCCUCUGAGUUGCUAAAAGUAAAAUGUUUUAAUUUAGUUGAAUUCUUGUUCAAUAUUUAACAGAAAAUAAAACAUUUCUUCACUUCUUUCCAUUUGAUUUCUGUCAAACAUUUGUGAAAAUGUUAAUCUGUUAUGGUCUCAGAUGAAACUGUACUCAUGUGGAAAUAGAGCUCCAUCUGGUGGAUGAGAUCAGAACUGCACCGCUCCGUUUCUGUAAAUAAACCAACUUUUACAAGUAAA